GACGAACGCUGGCGGCGUGCUUAACACAUGCAAGUCGAACGGAAAGGCCCUGCUUUUGUGGGGUGCUCGAGUGGCGAACGGGUGAGUAACACGUGAGUAACCUGCCCUUGACUUUGGGAUAACUUCAGGAAACUGGGGCUAAUACCGGAUAGGAGCUCCUGCUGCAUGGUGGGGGUUGGAAAGUCUCGGCGGUUGGGGAUGGACUCGCGGCUUACCAGCUUGUUGGUGGGGUAGUGGCUUACCAAGGCUUUGACGGGUAGCCGGCCUGAGAGGGUGACCGGCCACAUUGGGACUGAGAUACGGCCCAGACUCCUACGGGAGGCAGCAGUGGGGAAUAUUGCCCAAUGGGCGGAAGCCUGAUGCAGCAACGCCGCGUGCGGGAUGACGGCCUUCGGGUUGUAAACCGCUUUCGCCUGUGACGAAGCGUGAGUGACGGUAAUGGGUAAAGAAGCACCGGCUAACUACGUG
rnacentral:rRNA from 1 species